GAUGAAGAACGUAGUGAAAUGCGAUAAGUAAUGUGAAUUGCAGAAUUCAGUGAAUCAUCGAAUCUUUGAACGCACAUUGCGCCCCCUGGCAUUCCGGGGGGCAUGCCUGUUCGAGCGUCAUUACAACCCUCAAGCUCAGCUUGGUGUUGGGCCCCGCCGCCCCGGCGGGCCCUAAAGUCAGUGGCGGUGCCGUCCGGCUCCGAGCGUAGUAAUUCUUCUCGCUCUGGAGGUCCGGUCGUGUGCUCGCCAGCAACCCCCAAUUUUUUUCAGGUUGACCUCGGAUCAGGUAGGGAUACCCGCUGAACUUAAGCAUAUCAAUAGCGGAGGA
rnacentral:misc_RNA from 1 species